rnacentral:rRNA from 1 species
AUGGAGACGGUUGGCAUAUCUGCAGCGAGCUGGGUGGUUGGCAAAGCACUGAGCCCACUGUCUGGUGGUGUGCUGGAGUUGUGGGCAGCCAGCACCAAGCUCGGGUAUAACAUCGAGAAUCUAAAGCUGGAGCUGUUGCAGGCUCAGGCAAUGUUGAACACUGCCGAGGGCAGGGAGAUCCACAACCCCGCCCUGGCUGAGCUGCUAAACAAGCUGCGGCAGCUGGCCUAUGGGGCCGACGAUGUGCUGGACGCGAUCGACUACUUCCGCAUCCAGGAUGAGCUCGAUGGCACGUACCAUGCUGCAGACACGCAUGCUGCUGGCUGUGUCCAGGACCUCGCCCUCCAUGCUCGCCACAUGACCAAAGCUUGUGGGAACAAACUCAAGUUUCCUGUGUGCACGCGUGCUACCAGGCGUCCCGAUCCUGAUGAGCAAGACGGCGAUGGCAAACAAGGAUGCCUCUCAGGUCUCCGCUUUUGUGGUGGUCGGCGUGAGGUUAACUCCUCACUACCGACACCCACCAAACAGCUGGGUGUCGAUGAGGUUCAUGGCAGAUGCAUGCCUAAGGCUGCCCACAAUGUCGGUAAACACUUUUCUUGCUUCUCCUCCUUACCCUCUAUCGACCAUGAUGCUCAGACCGAAGUGGUGGAAAAUCACCCCUUAGAAAUACCAAAACUGAAGUUUGACAGGGUGGAAAUGUCUAGAAAGAUAUUGAACAUCAUAGAGCAGUUGAAGCCUGUAUGUGCUAAGGUCUCAACCAUUCUUAAUCUAGAGUUACUGAACUCUAGCCGUGCCUCUACCCAAGACAUUGCCACGAACAGACCCAAAACUACCCCACAAAUUAUAGAACCUAAGUUAUAUGGAAGGGAUAGCCACAAAAAGAUUGUCCUCGAUGAAAUUGCUAAUAGUCAAUGUUGUGAACUCACUGUGCUUCCAAUUGUCGGCCCAGGAGGUAUUGGAAAGACAACUUUCACACAACACGUAUAUGAACAAGCGAAGAGUCAUUUCCAAGUCCCCAUCUGGAUUUGUAUCUCUUUUGAUUUUAAUGCGAAUAGGUUGGCAAAAGAUAUCGUGAAAAAUAUCCCCAAAUUUGACAAUGAAAAGAGUGAUUGUAGUGAUGAAGAGCUUAUCGUGCAAAGGAUAAAAGGAAAAAGGGUUUUACUUGUGUUAGAUGAUGUGUGGACACAUCAUGAGGAUGAGUGGAAAAAAUUGUUAUCCUUAUUCAAAACCGAGGGUGCAAAAGGUAGCAUGGUUAUAGUCACGACUCGAAUACCCGAGGUAGCAAACACGGUUAAGACAACUAAAUGCUCACUGGGAUUGGAGCAUCUAUGUCCUAAAGAUAUUAUGUCUUUCUUUGAAGAUUGUGUAUUUGGUGACCAAGAACCAUGGAUUCACCAUCCAGAACUAUCUGAAGUUGGGAGCAAAAUAGUGGACAAGCUGAAGGGUUCCCCUCUUGCAGCAAAAACUGUUGGUAGAUUAUUAAGAAACAAACUUACAUUAAACCUUUGGACAAGCGUUCUGGAAAGUAAAGAAUGGGAAUCACAAAACAAUGACAAUGAUAUUAUGCCAGCUUUAAAACUCAGCUAUGAUCAUCUUCCAUUCCAUCUACAACAAUGUUUUUCUUUUUGUUCUUUAUUUCCUGAAGAUUAUGAAUUUGGUAGCGAAGAGUUGGUUCACUUGUGGAUUGGACUGAAUAUUUUGAAGAUGUUGGAAUGUGCUAUUUAA